UGAUUCUGUCUUAAUUUAUAUGUUUGUUAAGUUAGUUAUUUAUGGAUUGUAUUAAAUAUAAGUUUUUGCGUGAUUUUACGGAUUUAUCUAAAUGGUUUUUCGGGGAGUAUAGUAAUUAAGGAGUGGAUUUGUAGUUUUUAAUAUUCAUGUAUUGCAUAAGUGUAGAUCUGAGUUAUUUUUAUUAGGGCUGUUAUAAGGUUGUGCCAGCAAACGCGGUUAUACAACUGGCUCAAAUUAAUUUUUUUGGUUUAUAUUUAUUUGUUUAAGUUGGGAUUAUUUCAUUUUUGUUAGGUGGAAUUUCAAUAUUGAUUAUGUUCUCUUGGUUUAAAGAUUAUAUGAAAUUUAGGUGUUAGACUAGGAUUAGAUACCCUAUUAUUCUAAAUGUAAAUUUUGACCUUAUUAUUAAUAGUUAUGUUCUUUAAAUUAAAAGAAUUUGGCGGUAAUUUAGUCUUUUCAGAGGAGCCUGUUCUGUAAUUGAUGAUCCACGUUGGAUUUAACUUUAAUUUUGAUUUGUAUACCUCUGUCAUUGAGUGUUUUGUAAGGAUAUUCUCUUUUUACAUUAAUUUGUUUAAUGUCAGGUCAAGGUGCAGUUAUAUUGAAGGUUGAAAUGGGCUACAUUUAAUGUUUAUUUAUUGGAUUAUAAAUUCUGGAAUUGUAUUUAUGAAAAAGGAUU
rnacentral:rRNA from 1 species